GUCCUGGUCUCCAGCCCGGGCGGGGGUGCACGCGGUUGGCCUUUCCUAUACGGUCGUCAUGUUUCCAGGUCUCAUCUACGCAUGUGCUCUGCAUAUCUGUCAGAAUACGUCAGAAUGGAGGCUAGUACGAAGCGGAAGAAAUGAACAGGCUGGCAUAUAUUCAUACAAACAGUAGCAAAAAGUGCACAUUCAC